CCAAUAGCGUAUAUUAAAGUUGUUGCAGUUAAAAAGCUCGUAGUUGAAUUUCGAGACCGGUUUACUGGUCGUGCUUUUGUACGUACUGGUAUAAUCGGUUUCUCCUUUCUGACGAACUAUAAUGCCAUUAAUUUGGUGUUAUAGGGAAUCAGGACUGUUACUUUGAAAAAAUUAGAGUGUUUAAAGCAGGCUCACGCUUGAAUACAUUAGCAUGGAAUAACGGAAUAGGACGUUUGAUUCUAUUUUGUUGGUUUCUAGGAUCGACGUAAUGAUUAAUAGGGAUAGUUGGGGGCAUUAGUAUUCAAUUGUCAGAGGUGAAAUUCUUGGAUUUAUUGAAGACUAACUACUGCGAAAGCAUUUGCCAAGGAUGUUUUCAUUAAUCAAGAACGAAAGUUAGGGGAUCGAAGACGAUCAGAUACCGUCGUAGUCUUAACCAUAAACUAUGCCGACUAGGGAUCGGAUGAUGUUAAUUUUAAUGACUCAUUCGGCGCCUUACGGGAAA
rnacentral:rRNA from 1 species